CUCCCCUUCCGCAGAACCUGGUGCCAUCCCGCCUGGCCCCUGUCGGCGGCGUGUCCCGCUGCCUCCCAAAGAGCCAGCCAGGCCUGGGGCGCCCUGGCUGCAGCCUCGUGGCUAGUUCCAGCGGGGCCGCACUGCUGGUGCCUCCCUCCCGCAGACAAGCGCCGAACCCAGUCGCCGGGGCUGGCCUUGGUCCCGCUUCGCCUCGCGCUGUUCUCACGCAGGCUAGCGGGUCUGGCGAAUGGGUGCAAGGGGGGAGCAGCGCUUCAGGCUGUAGGGCAGGGGAGGGGAGCCACCGACGCAUGAAAAAUUAAUGGGGGUGGCGCACAAGUGAGAAGCAAAAUAAAAAGGAAAAACCUCACUGAGCCAGGUGCAAGGACAAUAAGACUUGUCAAGUGGGGUUACUGAAAGAAGACUAGAUGUAUGGACGCCUUGGGAGUCAGCAGCAAGUGCCUGCUUUUGAAAGCACCCUCUUUGAAAACGAGUGUGGCAGCAUUAAGACAACACCGAGGAGAAGGUGCUACAGAGGACUAACUGCAUAGCUUCUACAAGGGGGACCCUGUGUUUUAUCUUCUCAACAUUGGAGCAUCAGUCUGGAUCUGCAGAAGCCCAGCUCCACCCCUCCCUCAUCUAACUCACCUGGCUAGUGCAGUUAAGUGGAACAACUAUUGGUAACAAGACGCAGUGUGCUUGCAUGUGUGCAUGAGUGUAAUAUAUCAUAUGCAUAUGUUACAGUAGUGAUUGAUAUAUGUAUUACCAAUAAACGUGGCAUUUUGCCU